rnacentral:piRNA from 1 species
UUAUGCACUACGUGAUCAAGAAGUUCCGA